GGUCUGAGAGGAUGAUCCGCCACACUGGGACUGAGACACGGCCCAGACUCCUAGGGGAGGCAGCAUUGGGGAAUUUUGGACAAUGGGCGUAAGCCUGAUCCACCCAUCCCGCGUGUCUGAAGAAGGCCUUCGGGUUGUAAAGGACUUUUGUCCGGGAGCAAAUCCCAGUGGUUAAUACCUACUGGGGCUGAGAGUACCGGAAGAAUAAGCACCGGCUAACUACGUGCCAGCAGCCGCGUUAAUACGUAGGGUCCAAGCGUUAAUCGGAAUUACUGGGCGUAAAGCGUGCGCAGGCGGUUGUGCAAGUCUGAUGUGAAAGCCCCGGGCUUAACCUGGGAACGGCAUUGGAGACUG
rnacentral:rRNA from 2 species